rnacentral:lncRNA from 13 species
AUGCUUGGGCUUUUCCUGAAGGUGGACAGACACAUAGCAGGAGCACAAGCACAUGACGAAAUCUCCAGAGGGGCUGGAGCUACCCACUGCCUGGUGAUGGGAGCUGAGAUGGAGCAGCGGACAGGGACCCACACCUGCCACCCUGUUCACUGCAGGCUGGUCACCCUGAGACCCUCAGCACCCACCCAAAUCUGCAGGGAAACUCUGAUUGGAAACCUCAGGAUGGGAAAAAAACACAGUGGCAGAGCACACUGUGUUUUAGUCAAGGUUUUGUGCUGUUCCUCUCUAAUCCUUUUCUCAGGUAAGGACAUUGUUUUAAAGGGAAUUGAGGAAAAAUCUCUUUCACAGGACAGUAUUUCUUUAGUACCACCAGUAAUGGGGGUGGAUUGGGAAAUGAACCCUUCCCCAUUACACUGGGACUAACUGCACAGCCCAUGCUUUCCAGUUAAAAUUUGAUUGCCUUGAAUCCUGAGGAUUAUGGAAAAUAAGAAAAAGGCCUAGUAAAAUUUAUGGGUUUUAAUCAUAAACUGAUAGAAUCACAGUAAAUCUAUCAUAAGUAUGCAGAUACAGAUUCAGGAAGAAGAGAGGAAAGCAGCAGGCUUUUUCUUGAAGGAGCUAUGUGUACCUUGGCAGGGCCAGGGAGAGGGGAAGCAGGGCUGCUUCCCCAGCCAUCUCCUCUGGGGCAUUGAGCCCCUGCACCUCAAAUCCCUUCUCCUCUGCUGUGUCCUGCAAAAACCUGGAAGCAGGGAUUGUACUGCAAAGUCCCUGCCCUGUCUCAUGGCAAACCGGCUGGGUAGGGCUGGAGAGCCCAUGUGGAGGUGGAAAAAGAGGGACAAGGCCAGGAGAUGGGGGAAGAGAGGGAAGGGAGAAAAGAGAAAAGGGAAUCAAAGUUCAAAGAUCUUUUUCCAACCACCUCUCUGUGUGCUGCUCACUGUGGUGGAAGCAGGAUGAGACCCUGCCAGGGGAAGAGGAAGGCAAAAAUGUGAGGGAGAAACGUGUGUGCAGAGGGGACUGCAGGAAGCACAGCCGUGGUGGAGAGAGGAGAGCUCUUGACAGAGAGAAAUGGCAGGAGAGUGAGGGAGCAGCACAGAACGCAGAAAGUAUUUAAAAAAAAAAAAAAAAAAAAAAAAGAGAGUGAUAAGGAAGAAAAGAGGGAGAGAGUAAAAUAUUGGCUCUGAAGCAGAGAUAAGAGAGAGAGGGCAGUUAGUGAGAGAAGGAGUAAAAUUAAGUGUGAUAAGGCCUGAUAGAAGCAGGGGAAGGCAGCAAGCCCAGGCAGAGAGCCAGGGGGCUGUGGGCAGAGCUGGGGAGCUGCAGGCAGAGAGCAGAGGGGCUGUAGGCAGAGCUGUGGGGCUGUAUGGCACAGGAGGGUGAAAGGCCAGCCUGACCCCCUCUUCUCUGGUCACCCGUACCCCUCUAUAUGCUUUGUGUACCUCUGGUGGUCCACGGAGAGGAGCUGAGUGGGUACAGGGAUGGAUGAGGAGAAUCAGGGAGUUGGUGGGUGUAAAUAUCUGUCCUGCAGGGUGCUCAUAACCCUGUUCCUGCCUCAGAGGCAGAAGGGAGAGUUGACACCUGCCUGCCAGGCACCUGCGAGCCAUGGGCCCUGGCAGUGGAGGAACACGUGGAGCUGGUGGGGAGGGAAGGGCCUGGGGUGGGUGAUGUUUCCAGGCUGGAAGUGCUGAUUAACUCCUCAUCCUCCUCCCUGCUGUGUCCCCACACACGCUGCCUGUCAUGGAGAUCCCCAUGGGACUCCCAGUCUAGGAAGCGGAGGAGGUAAGGCACGUUUGCCCUCCAUGCCCUAAGCACAACUUUCCCUGGGUUUUUUGCUACCUCUUUUAAACUGUUUUAUAAAGUGCUUUGUAUUUGUUGUGAUUCAAAAGAAACAAGUGAAAACUGCUGUCUGGCUCUGACACAUGGGCCAUGGUUCCCUGAUGAGCAGUACUAGAACCAGCCUCUGCUUUCUCACCCCUGAUUAAACUGCAAUGGAAACAGACUAAAUCUCAGCAAAGGAGAGGAGGAGAGUCUAUUAUUUGGAUUUGGGUUUUUUCUCAUUUUUACCAGCUAUGAAAAUGGCUGAGCUGAGUUGCUGGCCACUCCAAGAUGCUUUUCUUCUGCUCCAUCCAUCUGCUUCAAUCACAUGGUGACUGGAAAAAAAAUUAUCCAGUUCACAAAGCAUGGAAGAUUAAAAAAUCAGUGUGGGUAACAAAGUGUGUGGCAGGCAACAGUACACAGGCAUCGGGCACACUCACUAAUGAGGGAUUUGAGCUGCAGCUUGGGAUUUAGAGUAGCAGUGUGGCCUCUCCCAGGAGGCUUUCUGGCAGCAGAGGUGGUGGGGCUGGGGACAGGCGUGGGGCUGUGUGGCAGGGCUGGGCCGGGAAAAUUCCUGAGAUGUUCUAUGGAAAAGAAAUAAUUUGCUCUCUCCUUUUCUUUUUUAACCUUUUUUGACAGUGAAACACUUGGUUCCUCCCUUCGAUUGCUGGGGCUCUGUAAUGUGCUGCAAAUUCCUCAUUUGACUUGGUUAUUAGUAUUUUUUUAAAUCUAUGUGUAUUGAAUUAACUCUUUUCAUUACAGCAUUAAAAGGGAUAACUGGAACCAAUUAAGGAUCUCUUUUGGGUGGCCAGUGCCUGUAGCUGUCCAGGGUCAUGGAGAUCCCCCUCCACCUCUCUGCCGAGAAACUGGUUGAGUUCGUGUCAGUUCUGGCAACCAGGCUCAGACUGAGCUUUCUGUGCCUAAAGUUCUUGCUUGGCUCCACUUGACUUGGCAUUGUUCUCCAAGGGCUGAGGCCCCUGUGCACCUCUGCCUCUCCCAGGGCAGUGCUGCUCUGAGCCCCUGGAGCAGGAUCUGCAGUCCCUGGAGCCUGCCUUCAGCUUCACCCCUAGUUUGUGUGUUGCUGUUUGUGGUUUUGUGUUUAGCUCGCUGGAAAUGUUGGUUAAACACUGGUGGAAGGGGAAUCUCAUAAAGAGCAUUUUGCUUUGGCUCUUUUAAAAAGCAAACCAAAAGCCAAAGGCUUUUAAAAAAUGUAUUGGUUUCAAAGUUAUAAAGGAAAGAUGCAUUAGAGAUGAGAAAAGAACAAAUCAAAGCUUCUGAAACCUGCUGUGGAGAAAGAAACACAAGGCGUUUUGUUUGAAGAUGAAAAGAAAGCUGAAAUCAGCAAAAAUUCCCUCUCCCCACCAGCACAGAUGCUUCACGUUGAUUCUUCUCGGUUGGCACGCUGCUCGAGGAAAAGCAAAUCCAUUCUUUCCCCUGUUGGGGUUCCAGGUUCCUGGCACUUAUAUUUUAUCAUCUUGUAGUGACUUUGAUCCCUGGAGACUCCUUAGGUGCCUUACAAAUUAAGAAUGUGAAUCUCAGCUCAUCUGCCUCAGAGGUGCCACCGAGGCUGGGUGCGCCACAGGGGUCAGUGUGGUGCCACCCUCCUGGUGGCAGCUGGGAAGGUUGGGAAGCACCUGCUGAUUCAGUAAGGAUUAUAAACGCCUUUAGUGCCCAUACUGCCACCAUUAGCGAGGAUGUUUUGUGCUUCCAGCCCAGGAAACCCAGUGGCCAAUUUAACUCCCACUGCUCCCCUUUUCUUGUGGAGGUAAGAUGGUCCUUAAGGUCUCUUUCAACCCAACCCAUUUCAUGGUUCCAUGAGGCAACACAGACCUUCCAGACCUGAUCCAAGUCCCAGAGCUGAGCAAAGGAAGGAUGUUGCUGUGACCAGACUCCAUGGUGAUGGGCACACUGGUGCCAGACAAGGGCCGACAGUGUGUCACAGCCUGUGCCUGGUCUCUGCCUCAGCCUAUGCUUGUGUUUAUAGGCCUAUGUAAUUCUAUUUUCAGACAAGGUCUCCUGUGAGCCUGGAAGCUGAAUUCCCUUCGAUGUGCCUGAGAGUCUGGCUGCCAGUGAUCAGGUCUUGAAUUACAGGCAGGUGGGGAGCAGUGCUGGAGCUGCUCUAGCUGCAGGGUACCAGUUGCUGGAGGCACCCAAGUGGGUGCUGCCAAUG